GCUACGGGAGGCUUCAGUGGGGAAUAUUGGGCAAUGGAGGAAACUCUGACCCAGCAACGCCGCGUGAAUGAUGAAGGUCUUCGGAUUGUAAAGUUCUUUUCUAAGGGAAGAAGAAAGUGACGGUACCUUAGGAAUAAGCCUCGGCUAACUACGUGCCAGCAGCCGCGGUAAUACGUAGGAGGCGAGCGUUAUCCGGAAUUACUGGGUGUAAAGGGAGAGUAGGUGGCAAGGUAAGCGAUAUGUGAAAGCCUUAAGCUGAACUUAAGGAUUGCAUAACGAACUAUCUAGCUAGAGUACAGGAGAGGAAAGCGGAAUUCCUAGUGUAGCGGUGAAAUGCGUAGAUAUUAGGAAGAACACCAGUGGCGAAGGCGGCUUUCUGGACUGAAACUGACGCUGAGGCUCGAAAGCGUGGGGAGCGAACAGGAUUAGAUACCCGGGUAGUC
rnacentral:rRNA from 1 species